ensembl:misc_RNA 7SK 7SK RNA
GUGAGGGAGAUGUGCCUACGACCUCUGUCACCCAAUUGAUCACUAGGGUUGACUCGGCUGAUCUGGCUGGCUAGGCAGGUGUCCACUUUCUCCCUCACCAACAGGGUGUUUCUCCUGGCGUUUCACGCUCAGUGGAAGAGGACAGGAUCCCCGGCGGACGAGCAUCAUUGGUAUACAAGUAGUUGCUCUCCCCUGCUAGAACCUCCAAACAAGCUAAAAAAGCAAUGCUAGCGACCAGGCUCAGCCAACAUCGCUAAAGCUUCCCAACGUUAUGUUAGCAAUG